rnacentral:rRNA from 1 species
UACGUAGGGGGCAAGCGUUGUCCGGAAUUAUUGGGCGUAAAGAGCUCGUAGGCGGUUUGGCAAGUCGGGUGUGAAAACUCCGGGCUCAACUCGGAGACGCCACUCGAUACUGCUAUGACUCGAGUCCGGUAGGGGAGUGCGGAAUUCCUGGUGUAGCGGUGAAAUGCGCAGAUAUCAGGAGGAACACCGGUGGCGAAGGCGGCACUCUGGGCCGGUACUGACGCUGAGGAGCGAAAGCGUGGGGAGCGAACAGG